CGCUGAAAGCAUCUAAGCGUGAAACCAGCCUAAAGAUGAGGUUUCUCAUUACGUAAGUAAGUAAGGUCCCACAGAGACGAUGUGGUUGAUAGGCCGGGAGUGGAAGUACAGUGAUGUAUGGAGCGGACCGGUACUAAUAGACCGAGGACUUGACUU
rnacentral:rRNA from 1 species